AGGAGGUCAAUGUCACUCUUCUCUGGGAUGAACUUGAGGAGCUGCAAAGAGCAGGCGCAAGUCACACAAGCAACUGGGUGAAGACAAUGAGGAUGAAGACCUUUAUGAUGAUCCACCUCCACUCAAUGAACAGUAUCUUUUAAUGAUUUUCUUUUUUUU